UACGUAGGGUGCAAGCGUUAAUCGGAAUUACUGGGCGUAAAGCGUGCGCAGGCGGUUCUGAAAGAAAGAUGUGAAAUCCCAGAGCUUAACUUUGGAACUGCAUUUUUAACUACCGGGCCAGAGUGUGUCAGAGGGAGGUGGAAUUCCGCGUGUAGCAGUGAAAUGCGUAGAUAUGCGGAGGAACACCGAUGGCGAAGGCAGCCUCCUGGGAUAACACUGACGCUCAUGCACGAAAGCGUGGGGAGCAAACAGGAUUAGAUUCCCUGGUAGUCCACGCCCUAAACGAUGUCAACUAGCUGUUGGGGCCUUCGGGCCUUGGUAGCGCAGCUAACGCGUGAAGUUGACCGCCUGGGGAGUACGGUCGCAAGAUUAAAACUC
rnacentral:rRNA from 1 species